ACCGCAGCCUGCCCCCGUUAAAAAUAUAACGCCCUCCCCUCGCCCAGGCGUCCCGGCAUUCCAAAUACUGGGGCCAAGGCUGUAAGAACUAUAGACAGCAACUGACAGUACCAGUAACAUGUCAGCAAACUGUCAACGGAGCAGGCCGAGAAAGCAACAUUAACAUCUAAAUCUGAAAAUUCUACGAUUGGAUCCACUGGAAUUGCUACAGAAGCUGCUACUAUGCCCAGUUUGGGCAUUACACGAUCACUAUACACUUGAAAAUCGACAACUUGAAAUGAAAGGACACUUUCGGGAACAACAUGCACCUGUUUGAAGAACCCUCAGCGUCCUACAGGAUAGACGAUCUCCUCUUCAUGGCCAGCAGAGGCCCCUCAGACGCCAGUGAGGAAGGGGUGCGCCAAGGCUUUGGAGGCCGAGAUGCGAUUGGUGGGGCUGAACUCAAGACAUUUCUGUAGUCGAGGACAUAGAGCUUUAACAGAUGCAGGUAUGUCAGAGGGGCGUUCACACCUUGAUUUUCCCGAGGCUCAGUCCAGUGGCAGGGACCAUGGC